UCCAGACUCCUACGGGAGGCAGCAGUGGGGAAUAUUGCGCAAUGGGGGCAACCCUGACGCAGCAACGCCGCGUGCAGGAAGAAGGUCUUCGGAUUGUAAACUGUUGUCGCAAGGGAAGAAGACAGUGACGGUACCUUGUGAGAAAGUCACAGCUAACUACGUGCCAGCAGCCGCGGUAAUACGUAGGGGGCAAGCGUUAUCCGGAUUUACUGGGUGUAAAGGGGGCGCAGACGGCGAUGCAAGCCAGGAGUGAAAGCCCGGGGCCCAACCCCGGGACUGCUCUUGGAACUGCGUGGCUGGAGUGCAGGAGGGGCAGGCGGAAUUCCUGGUGUAGCGGUGAAAUGCGUAGAUAUCAGGAGGAACACCGGUGGCGAAGGCGGCCCGCUGGACUGCAACUGACGUUGAGGCCCGAAAGCGUGGGGAGCAAACAGGAUUAGAUACCCUAGUA
rnacentral:rRNA from 1 species